UACGUAGGUGGCAAGCGUUAUCCGGAAUUAUUGGGCGUAAAGCGCGCGCAGGCGGUUUCUUAAGUCUGAUGUGAAAGCCCACGGCUCAACCGUGGAGGGUCAUUGGAAACCGGGGAACUUGAGUGCAGAAGAGAAAAGCGGAAUUCCACGUGUAGCGGUGAAAUGCGUAGAGAUGUGGAGGAACACCAGUGGCGAAGGCGGCUUCCUGGUCCAGCACCGACGUUCAGGCACGAAAGCGUGGGGAGCAAACAGG
rnacentral:rRNA from 1 species